rnacentral:lncRNA from 1 species
GGGGCAGGAGAUUGGUGUGGGUUGGGAGGGGUAAGAAGAGUUCAUGGAAUUGAAAGAUUGUCAUUCUGCUGCGUGAAUACUAGAAGACAGUUAUAGGGACUUCUGUCCGAGUUCCCUCCAUCCACCAGGCUCUCUGCCCUUCAGUCUGUUCUUAGGAUGAAGCUUUCACUGAACUGAAGGAAGAGGAAACAACCCUGAAUCCGUGGAGGUCUGUCUGAAUUUGGGGCCCUGCACAAGUACAGGCCUGAUAGAAAAAAGUAAACUGCUCCUGCUCCCAGCAGGUCCUGCUCGGCUUGCAGUCUGGGCAAAACCUGUGAGCCUGAGUAGAAGUGCCUUGCCCAGACGUGCAAACCGCGUUUAGGCAAGCCAGCUCCACACUGUGGAUCAG